UAGAGGGUACCACUGUCCCAGGGGCUGCUACCUCCUCCAGCUUCUCUAUUCUUUUCCCUAAGGGCAUGGGCUAGGAAGCAAGGCUGCUCUGAGUUCCCUUCCUGCUACUCUGGCCUCAGGCAACAAACACUAAGGCUUUCUCAGAGCAUCUGUUUCUUGCUUUGCAGAACGGGAACAUGAGCCCUACCAGUCUAUCAUGAAAACUCACUGAGAUCUAAGUAGGGAGCCAUGGCUCUGGCCUGUCAUCUCAGCUGUUUGGGAGGCUGAAGCUGAAGUCUGACGGUGAAUUCAAGGUCAGCCUGGCUGAGCUGUGUCAGCACGGCACAAGAGGACGGGGCCGUUCCACAGGACGGCUUCAGCACGUACAGGGAUAACAACGGAUAAGCUGGCAGACACCUUGAAAUAUGGAGGUGUCGAACCCCUUCAACAAACUAAGGAUGCAAAAGGAGACUUUAACAUCCUUGCCCUCAGUCUGACGUGGUUUGCUUUUGGUUCUUUUUAUUUUUAAAUAUGUUUAUAUGCUUUUUGUCA